rnacentral:rRNA from 1 species
CUGGCGGCGUGCUUAACACAUGCAAGUCGAACGCGAAGGGACUCGGUCCUGAGUAAGUGGCGCACGGGUGAGUAACGCGUAGAUAACCUGUCUUCAUGUCUGGAAUAAUACGCCGAAAGGGGUACUAAUACCGGAUAUUCUUGCUUUUCAUAAGUUAUGCAAGCAAAGGUGGCCUCUGCAUAUGCUACUGCAUGAAGAGGGGUCUGCGUACCAUUAGCUAGUAGGUGGGGUAAUGGCCUACCUAGGCGACGAUGGUUAGCGGGUCUGAGAGGAUGAUCCGCCACACUGGCACUGGAACACGGGCCAGACUCCUACGGGAGGCAGCAGUGAGGAAUAUUGCGCAAUGGGGGAAACCCUGACGCAGCGACGCCGCGUGAGUGAGGAAAGGCCUUCGGGUCGUAAAGCUCUGUCAAGAGGAAAGAAGUGUACAAUGGCUAAUACCUGUUGUAUUUGACGGUACCUCUAAAGGAAGCACCGGCUAACUCCGUGCCAGCAGCUGC